GAUGAACGCUGGCGGCGUGCCUAAUACAUGCAAGUCGAGCGAACGGACGAGAAGCUUGCUUCUCUGAUGUUAGCGGCGGACGGGUGAGUAACACGUGGAUAACCUACCUAUAAGACUGGGAUAACUUCGGGAAACCGGAGCUAAUACCGGAUAAUAUUUUGAACCGCAUGGUUCAAAAGUGAAAGACGGUCUUGCUGUCACUUAUAGAUGGAUCCGCGCUGCAUUAGCUAGUUGGUAAGGUAACGGCUUACCAAGGCAACGAUGCAUAGCCGACCUGAGAGGGUGAUCGGCCACACUGGAACUGAGACACGGUCCAGACUCCUACGGGAGGCAGCAGUAGGGAAUCUUCCGCAAUGGGCGAAAGCCUGACGGAGCCACGCCGCGUGAGUGAUGAAGGUCUUCGGAACGUAAAACUCUGUUAUUAGGGAAGAACAUAUGUGUAAGUAACUGUGCACAUCUUGACGGUACCUAAUCGGAAAGCCACGGCUAACUACGUG
rnacentral:rRNA from 1 species